rnacentral:rRNA from 1 species
AUUGAACGCUGGCGGCAGGCCUAACACAUGCAAGUCGAGCGGAUGAAGGGAGCUUGCUCCUGGAUUCAGCGGCGGACGGGUGAGUAAUGCCUAGGAAUCUGCCUGGUAGUGGGGGAUAACGUCCGGAAACGGGCGCUAAUACCGCAUACGUCCUGAGGGAGAAAGUGGGGGAUCUUCGGACCUCACGCUAUCAGAUGAGCCUAGGUCGGAUUAGCUAGUUGGUGGGGUAAAGGCCUACCAAGGCGACGAUCCGUAACUGGUCUGAGAGGAUGAUCAGUCACACUGGAACUGAGACACGGUCCAGACUCCUACGGGAGGCAGCAGUGGGGAAUAUUGGACGAGGGGCGAAAGCCUGAUCCAGCCAUGCCGCGUGUGUGAAGAAGGUCUUCGGAUUGUAAAGCACUUUAAGUUGGGAGGAAGGGCAGUAAGUUAAUACCUUGCUGUUUUGACGUUACCAACAGAAUAAGCACCGGCUAACUUCGUG